GAAGCGCUGGUCGCGACCUAGCAGGAAGGAACGACAUGGCGUGGGGGAUGCCAUCAUCUAUGCAUCAGAGAUGCGGAAACUGAGGUGUGGGCUGCAGCCAGAGACUCUGCGUAUCUGACAACGUCCUGAGCAACGAUGACACGGGUGCUCGACAGACCACCCUUAGAGCAGCAGAAAGUAAACUGGCGAAGGUCACCGAAGCGAAAAUGGAAUCCGCAGCUUGCCAGCGUUUUUGGCACAGUCUGCA